AAUUUUGUGUGUUAUUGAACAGACAUUUUUUAAAAGAAAUUCUUAUAUUUUAGGGAUAGUUAUUCUUGAAAGUGGCAAAUUUGAUUUGAGAGCAAAUUUCCCUNNNNNNNNNNNNNNNNNNNNGGGGGGGGGGGGGGGGGGGGGGGGGGCGCGGGGGGGGGAAUGCGACCCCCGGUUUUUGGGGCCGGCCCCCCCCACCUUGAGGCACGGGCACCGCCAGCGGCCCCCCCCGCGGUACGGACAGACGGACGGACGGACGGACAGACGGGAGGAGGGCCGGAGGGAGGGAGGGGGGCGGCUCCCGGCCCGGGGGGGAGGAACUACAAGUCCCGUGAAGCCGCGCCGCCCGCUGCCGGGCUUUAUAAGGGGGGGGCAAUGGCCCGGCCGCCGCAGUCGGAGCAUCCCCGGGUCCCAGCCGCGGAGUCUCCCCCGCGGGGGGGGGAGGUGGAAGCGGGCCCCCCCCUCGGGGGCUGUGGGUACGGAGGAGGAGGAGGAGGAUGAAGAUGAGGAUGGCGAUGCCGGAGCUCCGGGAGCGGUUUGGGCGCAGAGCAGGAGCCGCGGGGGGGUUGCGGCUGGGAGGCUCGGCCCGCAGGAGGGUCGGUGGUGACGGCUCAGGGUGCGGGCGCCUGACAGGGGAGCCACGGUGCUGCCGCAGGGAGCGCGGCCACGCAGCCGAGGAUGGGAUGCUUCAGCUGCGAGCGCAGAGGGAGGAGAAGCAGAGGCAGCACGACACGUCUGGCACCCAGCAGGGGAGCAGGGUGCACCCGGGGCCGUGGCGAGCUCCUGCACCCGGCACCGGCCAUGGGAACAGCCCCGGCGCAGCCACCCAGCGUGCGCUCACUGUGACUCACGGCCCCGCUCGGCGAGGGGUCCUCCCGCACUGACCUCGCUCCGCUGGCUCCCACGCAGGGCAGAGAUGACUGAAUUACUGCUCCCCGCUGGGCUCUGCAAAUUCUCCUCUUGGCCGGGCGGCUUCCAGGCCGGAUACGUGGGGCUGGAUGGCUAAGUGCCCUCAGGUCAAACAGUAGCUCCGAUUUUUCCCCUGUGAAGGACCAAGCGCUUGCCCGGUUCCAAGGAAGCAGCUGUGGAAUUUUAUUUUAUUUUUUUUUUGUACCCCUCUGCUCUUCCUUCUGACUCUUUUCGUGAUCUUGGGCUUUUCAGGAGGAUGGUUGGACCCAGCCCGCAGCACCAAGUGCGGUCUCCUGCAGAGGGACGAAAGCCUCCGGAGGAGCCGCGUGCCAGGACCGAGGCGGCAGCCUCAAUGCUGUGGGUUUGGAACUGUCUGGGAGAGUGUCCCCUUGUGUCACCAGCAUUGCGCGGCCGUGUGUCACCCAUGGGGGUGCCCGCCUGGUGCAGUACAGGAGUCGCCGGCUGCCCCUGGGGCUGAGCAUCCUCCUCCCUGCCACAUCCCCCGUGGGACGAGGAGGGGCUGGGGGGGGGGCACGGG
rnacentral:lncRNA from 1 species